GUUUCGGUGGCUUAGUUGAUUAAAGCGUCGGUCUAGCGGAAACGAAGUCGUAGGUUCAAAUCCCACCAGAACG
rnacentral:tRNA from 1 species